rnacentral:rRNA from 1 species
GACGAACGCUGGCGGCGUGCUUAACACAUGCAAGUCGAACGGAAAGGCCCUGCUUUUGUGGGGUGCUCGAGUGGCGAACGGGUGAGUAACACGUGAGUAACCUGCCCUUGACUUUGGGAUAACUUCAGGAAACUGGGGCUAAUACCGGAUAGGAGCUCCUGCUGCAUGGUGGGGGUUGGAAAGUUUCGGCGGUUGGGGAUGGACUCGCGGCUUAUGAGCUUGUUGGUGGGGGAGUGGCUUACCAAGGCUUUGACGGGUAGCCGGCCUGAGAGGGUGACCGGCCACAAUGGGACUGAGAUACGGACCAGACUCGUACGGGAGGCAGCAGUGGGGAAUAUUGCACAGUGGGCGGAAGCCUGAUGCAGCAACGUCGCGUGCGGGAUGACGGCUUUCGGGUUGUAAACCGCUUUAGCCUGUGACGAAGCGUGAGUGACGGUAAUGGGUAAAGAAGCACCGGCUAACUACGUG